UACGGAGGGUGCAAGCAUUAAUCGGAAUUAUUGGGCGUAAAGGGCGCGUAGGCGGAUAGGUAAGUCAGAUGUGAAAUUCCGGAGCUCAAUUCCGGAGCUGCAUUUGAAACUGCCAGUCUAGAGGGUUGGCGGAGAGAACGGAAUUCCACGUGUAGCGGUGAAAUGCGUAGAUAUGUGGAAGAACACCGGUGGCGAAAGCGGUUCUCUAGCUAACAACUGACGCUGAGGCGCGAGAGCAAGGGGAUCAAACAGG
rnacentral:rRNA from 1 species